rnacentral:rRNA from 1 species
UACGUAGGCAGCGAGCGUUGUUCGGAGUUACUGGGCGUAAAGAGUGCGUAGGCGGUUUUCUAAGUUUGGUGUGAAAUCUCCCGGCUUAACUGGGAGGGUGCGCCGAAAACUGGAAGGCUUGAGUAUGGGAGAGGUAAGCGGAAUUCCUGGUGUAGCGGUGAAAUGCGCAGAUAUCAGGAAGAACACCCGUGGCGAAGGCGGCUCUCUGGGACGGUACUGACGCUGAGACGCGAAAGCGUGGGGAGCGAACAGG